UACAGAGGUCUCAAGCGUUGUUCGGAUUCAUUGGGCGUAAAGGGUGCGUAGGCGGCGCGGUAAGUCGGGUGUGAAAUUUCGAGGCUUAACUUCGAAACUGCAUUCGAUACUGCCGUGCUAGAGGACUGGAGAGGAGACUGGAAUUUACGGUGUAGCGGUGAAAUGCGUAGAUAUCGAUAAGGAAGACCAGUGGCGAAGGCGGGUCUCUGGACAGUUCCUGACACUGAGACACGAAGGCCAGGGAGCAAACGGG
rnacentral:rRNA from 1 species